rnacentral:tRNA from 1 species
CCCUAAAAAGUUCUGCAGGCAU